rnacentral:rRNA from 1 species
UACGUAGGUGGCAAGCGUUGUCCGGAAUUAUUGGGCGUAAAGCGCGCGCAGGCGGUCCUUUAAGUCUGAUGUGAAAGCCCACGGCUCAACCGUGGAGGGUCAUUGGAAACUGGGGGACUUGAGUGCAGGGGAGAACGGAAUUCCUGGUGUAGCGGUGAAAUGCGCAGAUAUCAGGAGGAACACCGGUGGCGAAGGCGACUAUCUGGGCUGCAACUGACGCUGAGGCGCGAAGGCUAGGGUAGCAAACAGG